AGCAUUGGUUUUACGACCAUGUAUACUUCAUUUUAACUCACUUUCUAUUUGCCAGUUUUAUUUAGUUAACGACAAUUUCGGUCUGCAUUUUUUCAAAGUGAGCCAUCUUAUUCAACAUGAUAGAUGCUGAAUGCGCAGAACAACGUUAACGUUCCAGAAAAAUUAUACAACAAAACGGAUAGGUUAGAGAGGAAUGAUGGAAAAGUGGGGAGAGUAGAUGAACAAGAUUAUGUCACGAACUCUUCUGUGUAUUUCUCCAUUGAUCAGGGGAUGCACCGGCGGAUACGCUCCCAUGGGAUGCUCAUUGUUCUCCUACCUUUUUACACCGUUCUCCGAUGCGGCGCCAUAGCAGAGAAAGAGGAACGUCUACAUGGAUGUGGUGCGUCUAAAAGUGCAUGCCCCGUGCCCCUGGGAUAUCAAGUAGAGUACUACCGGUCUCCUCUAGCGUUUACCAUAGAACAAAAUUCCUUGGAUCGACGGAAGAUCAUGCAUACAUAGAGGGAGUUCGCAUAUGCACACGUGACACUUAAGUCACAUUUUUCCAACCAUUGAAGUUUCCGUGAAAAUAUAACUUAAUGGACCAAAACGAAUUUCUAUGGAGAAGAAAGUAUGCCUGUGGUUUUCCAGGCGGAUAAAAAGGACGGUGCACGCGCCGCUUGCAGAAACGUUUCGUAAAUUCGAAGAAUGGCUGGAAAGAAGUGGCCGCCGCACAAAGCGUGCCGACACAACCGGGCUCGUUUGCCCCGCGGAGGUAAUUGUCUUCUUGGCCGCACGAGAGCGCACGUAUUCCGCAAGCAAAUACACACCAAGAGGCUGGCUUACAUACAGCGUUCUCACGGGAUGGAGAAUAAACACCAUGGUCCGGUCUGUUACCGACUUUUCAACUUUUCGUUUCCUGGACACGGUUUGUUGGAACAUUCCUCUCACUCGUUCAGUUGUCGAUUUGUGGAUAACGAAUUGCAAUGAAUAGAAGAAAUUUCUAUAUUGUUUAUAUUGAUGUGUGAGUAACAAAAAUAUAACGAAUCAAAGGAACAUUUGUAUGCUUAUCUUCUAUAUGCUAUUUUUAGGUUAUAUUUUGUGUUCUUUUUUCAAGAGAAGAAUUCUUGUAAUUGUAGAUAAUGUUAAGAAUAUAGAAAAUGAGUGAAAUUAAAAAAAUGAAAAAAGAAAGAAAAAACAAUGAAUACAGUUAUUGAAUUUAAAAUAAAAUUAGAAAAAGAAAUGUCAGAAGAGAAAGAAAUAAAUUAUAAAAUUAUAAUAAAGAUGUUGUUAAACUA